UUUUCUUGGUUUUAGCAGACCGUCUUUUGGCUCUCUCUCUCUCUCUCUCUCUCUCUCUCUCUCUCAUUCUAGGUGAAUUAGGGUUCUUAUUUUGAGUGUUAUACAGUGAUUAAAUGAUGGUGAAGUAUUUGUAAUAUUGUAAACUGUGAGAGAGAGGUGAUGUUCUGUGUUGUUUGUUCGUGAAUCUAAGUGAUUCCACUUAUGAACCGGUACGGGUUUUGGAAGAUCUAAGUGAUCAAGCUUGAUUCCUUGGUGGAAAGUGGUCUAAUUCGUGAUUUUUGUAGAAGAUAAGUCUUCGUGGCUCAGUCUUUGUGAUUUUUCUUGAACAUUUGUGUAAUCUUGUUGCCAAUUUUUGGCUAUAUAGUGCAAUCAAACUAAAUCAAUUUGUAAUGGAUGCUCAAUGGGGAAUUAGGCGUUAGAUGUGGUCGUCGAACCUUUGGGGCUACGGCCAAAAAAAUCUGUGUUAAUUUUUUUAAUUUUUGCACUUUUACUUUACUGUUUUUGAUGUAUGGUUUCAUAUCUUGGUUAAUGGUUGAAUGUUUCUCGACUUUUCACUGCACAUCUCUCCAAGGUGGUUGAACUAUUGGACAAUGUAUUAGACAAA
rnacentral:lncRNA from 1 species